rnacentral:rRNA from 1 species
CAAUGGACGCAAGUCUGAUCCAGCCAUGCCGCGUGAGGGAUGAAUGCCCUCUGGGUUGUAAACUUCUUUUGUAGGGGAAGAAAGAUACUUUUUUUAAGGUAGUUGACGGUACCCUAUGAAUAAGCACCGGCUAACUCCGUGCCAGCAGCCGCGGUAAUACGGAGGGUGCCAGCGUUAUCCGGAUUUACUGGGUUUAAAGGGUGCGUAGGCGGGCAUGUAAGUCAGUGGUGAAAGACCGGAGCUUAACUUCGGAACUGCGAUUGAUACUAUAUGUCUUGAAGAUUGUGGAGGUAAGCGGAAUAUGUCAUGUAGCGGUGAAAUGCAUAGAUAUGACAUAGAACAC